CCCGGCCGGGCCGCCCCCCACUCCCGGCACGCACCGCCGCGGCGCGGCCUCGGCCCUGCGCGGUGGCCGCCCGCGGCUGCCGCGGCGGCUGCGUGGGUGUUUCGGGGGCGCGGGAGCGGGGCGGCAGCCCGGCGGUGCUGCUGCCGGCUGCGGGCGGCGGGGACCCCGGGAGCCCCGGAAUCGCUAAAAAGCACAGUACAUGAUGGAAAGCGAAGCACUGUGGCUGGGCCCUGUGGCCUGGCCUGGCCCGGCCCGGCGGCAGCCAGCGGUCACCAGCUGCCUCCUGAAAUCACCAUCCUGUGAGAGGCUCCUUACAGUAGGGACGUGGCAAUAUUAAAAACCUCACCGCAACAAGAAUGUUACUAGAAAACGUAGGCUGUGUAUGUCCACUUCGGCUUUGUCAAAAUAAAAUAACAAUGUACUUCCUUGGGCUGGUUGGCUGGUCUUUUCACUAAAAAUGAAUAAAUAGGACACGCUUUUGA